CCCAGUGGGCUUAGGCCAGACGGGUUCCUCUCUGGGAAACAUGGCUAUGCAUCAGGCCUCACACCCUUAACCACAGGAGCCGAUGCCCAAGGACUUCAUGCAGGCGUGCCGUGAGAUGGAGUCAGGCCAGGACACGAGUGGGCAGAACUCCUGAGAAAGCCUGAGGAAGGAAGCUCGGUUCUCCCACAGCGGGACAGUGGCCCUGCUGAAGGCCCUUCACCACGGCCACUCGGGCUGUGUACCCUCAAGGCUGGCUUUGGAAUCCCAUCGGCAGGGCUGGAAGGAACUCUGUGGACCCUCCUGUCCAAUGCCAUCAUUUAGAGAUGAGGGAAGCGACGCCCCAAGCCCUCCCCCCACCACAGGGACGAACCUGAGAGCUCUUGAUUCCUGCUCAUUCCCAGCAGAGUGCACACCCAGAACGAAGACUGUCCUUUUGAGAAGACCCAUAUUCAAGUGCAAAGAAAAAAAAAGAGGCCCGGGCGCCUGGGUGGCUCAGACGGUUAAGCGUCUGCCUUCGGCUCAGGUCAUGACCCCAGGGUCCUGGGAUCGAGUCCCGCAUCGGGCUCCCUGCUCCUUGGGAGCGUGCUUCUCUCUCUCUGUCUCUCA